rnacentral:lncRNA from 1 species
GUGACUACUAGGGCUAUUUGUGCCUCCGGAAGAGGUAGAGCCGUCGGACUCUAUAGGCACAUUAGGAUGAGUGGUGGAUGGCACCUUUUAUGCUUUCCUAGAUCUCAUGGUAGUCGCUAUUGUGUAGAAUCUCUAAUCAUGAGACUAUGACCGUUCCUCUAGUACCAAUCUGUUGUCGCUGAGAAUCAGUUUGACUCAAGCUG